CUAGUGCCGAUGAUGGUUUUGAAUAUACUAUGAGUUAAUAGCCGCGAACACAUCUUAGAAUUGAGGCAUUGC